rnacentral:rRNA from 1 species
CCAAUUGUUCGCCAAACAACUACGAGUCCUACUUAAAACUUAAAAGACUUGACGGUACUUCAUCACGGCCUAGAGGAGCCUGUCAAAUAACCGACAAUCCACGAUUAACCCUGCCCCUUCUCGCCUUACAGUCUAUAUACCGCCGUCGCCAGCUUACCUUGUAAAAGAAAUAAAGUGAGCUAAAUAGCACCACACUAAAACGACAGGUCGAGGUGUAACCUAUGAAGGGGAUUUAGAUGGGCUACAUUCUCCAACCAAGAAUACGAAUAACACUAUGAAACUGAUGUUUGAAGGCGGAUUUAGCAGUAAGAUAAGAAUAAAACACCUAACUGAACAUGACGCAAUGAAGUGCGUACACACCGCCCGUCACCCCUGUCACCACAAUAUUAGACUUAAUAAACCAACCAAAUAAAUCAAGCAGGGCAAGUCGUAACAAGGUAAGUGUACA